rnacentral:rRNA from 1 species
AUUGAACGCUGGCGGCAGGCCUAACACAUGCAAGUCGAGCGGAGCGGCGGACGGGUGAGUAAUGCCUGGGAAUCUGCCUGGUAGUGGGGGAUAACGUCCGGAAACGGGCGCUAAUACCGCAUACUAUCAGAUGAGCCUAGGUCGGAUUAGCUAGUUGGUGGGGUAAAGGCCUACCAAGGCGACGAUCCGUAACUGGUCUGAGAGGAUGAUCAGUCACAGUGGAACUGAGACGCGGUACAGACUCAUACUGGUGGCAGCAGUGGGGAAGAUUGGAAAAUGAGAGAAGGCCUGAGCCAGCCAUGCCGCGUGUGUGAAGAAGGUCUUGGGAUUGUAAAGCACUUUAAGUUGGGAGGCGUUACCAACAGAAUGAGCACCGUAUAACUGCGUGCCAGAGCCGCGGUAAUC